AUUGAACGCUGCCGGUACGCCUAACACAUCCAAGUCGAACGGUAACAGGACGCAGCUUGCUGCUUUGCUUACGAGUGGCGGUCGGGUUAGUAAUGUCUGGCAACCUGCCCGAUGGAGGGGGAUCACUACUGGAAACGGUAGCUAAUACCGCAUACCGUCGCAAGCCCAAAGAGGGGGACCUUAGCGCCUCUUGCCAUCUGCUGUGCCCCGAUGGGAUUAGCUAGUAGGUGGGGUAACGGCUCACCUCGGCGACGAGCCGUAGCUUGUCUGAGAGGCUGACCAGCCACACUGGAACCGAGACACCGUCCAGACUCCUAAGGGAGUCAGCAGUGGGGAAUCUUGCACAAUGGGCGCAAUCCUGAUGCAGCCAUGCCGCGUGUAUGAAGAAGGCAGUCGGGUUGUAAAGUACCUCCAGCGGGGAGGAAGGUGGUGAGGUGAAUACCUGCGCGCAUGGACGUGGCCCGCAGAAGAAUCACCGUGUAACUCCGUU
rnacentral:rRNA from 1 species